rnacentral:rRNA from 1 species
AACGAACGCUGGCGGCAGGCCUCAAACAUGCAAGUCUAGGGGGUGUAGCAAUACAUCACCGGCGGACGGGUGCGUAACACGUGGGAAUAUACCUUUUGGUUCGGAACAACGCAGGGAAACUUGCGCUAAUACCGAAUGUGCCCUUACGGGGAAAGAUUUAUCGCCAAAGGAUUAGCCCGCGUAGGAUUAGCUAGUUGGUGAGGUAAUGGCUCACCAAGGCUCCGAUCCUUAGCUGUUCUGAGAGGAAGAUCAGCCACACUGGGACUGAGACACGGCCCAGACUCCUACGGGAGGCAGCAGUUGGGAAUCUUGGACAAUGGGGGAAACCCUGAUCCAGCCAUGCCG